rnacentral:rRNA from 1 species
AACACAUGCAAGUCGAACGAUGAAGUCCAGCUUGCUGGGCGGAUUAGUGGCGAACGGGUGAGUAACACGUGAGUAACCUGCCCUUGACUCUGGGAUAAGCCCGGGAAACUGGGUCUAAUACCGGAUAGGAGCGCCUGUCGCAUGACGGGUGCUGGAAAGAUCUUUCGGUCAUGGAUGGACUCGCGGCCUAUCAGCUUGUUGGUGAGGUAACGGCUCACCAAGGCGACGACGGGUAGCCGGCCUGAGAGGGUGACCGGCCACACUGGGACUGAGACACGGCCCAGACUCCUACGGGAGGCAGCAGUGGGGAAUAUUGCACAAUGGGCGGAAGCCUGAUGCAGCGACGCCGCGUGAGGGAUGACGGCCUUCGGGUUGUAAACCUCUUUCAGUAGGGAAGAAGCGAAAGUGACGGUACCUGCAGAAGAAGCACCGGCUAACUACGUGCCAGCAGCCGCGGUAAUACGUAGGGUGCGAGCGUUAUCCGGAAUUAUUGGGCGUAAAGAGCUCGUAGGCGGUUUGUCGCGUCUGUCGUGAAAGUCCGGGGCUUAACCCCGGAUCUGCGGUGGGUACGGGCAGACUAGAGUGCAGUAGGGGAGACUGGAAUUCCUGGUGUAGCGGUGGAAUGCGCAGAUAUCAGGAGGAACACCGAUGGCGAAGGCAGGUCUCUGGGCUGUAACUGACGCUGAGGAGCGAAA